AUUUGCGCUACUGGAGUGAUGUACGACUUACCGCAGCGUUCGACAGCGACAUUGGACGGAAAUAGAUAAAGGAAUUAGCGUUUGGAAAUGAUGUGAUGAAGUGUGAUUAUUUUUUUCGAUAAAUGAGUCGAAAUACUGAAAAUAAACAAAUAUUUUUUAGAAAAGUGAAAUGGUUUUAUUUAGUGAUGCAAAGUUUCCACCUCGUCAUUUACAUGUUUUUUAGCAGCUGCAAGGAUUUUCAGUUGACAGCUGUAGAAAUAAGUGUUGACAGUGUGCAAGUGCAGUGAAGUGAAUGAUUACAUGAAACCGCAAAAAAAAAAAUAUUAAAAUAAUAGUAUAAAUACCACACAAAGAAAUAAAAAAUAAGAAAAAAACUAAACUAUUUAGGGCAACUGAAUUGAAAAUCCCUGAAAUCUACUGGAGUGAAUGUGGUAGUUUCUUACAAAAAAUUUGAAAAACGACGUUAAAACUUCAAACUCAAGAUGCGGAAUUAAAAAUGAAAACUCGACACACGCAAACGCCACAUUAGACAGCUGAGCCGAGCACACAAUGUCUGCAGCUAUCUUCUGUUUUUAUAUUCUUAAAAUCGGUGAUUAGGAAGUGUUGCACCCUAACGUUCUAAUGCAGACGAUAUGGGCACAACAUGGCCUCAGCACAUAUAUUACAAUACUACAGCAACACUAGAACUAAAACAGCGGCAACGGUAUCCCCAAAAACAGCAACAACAAUUGCGCAACAUUGUUACGAGCGAAACACUUCCGGCACACCAGAGGCAUGUCUCAUCACUAACGAGCGGAAACAAUUUGCAGACGAGUCGUCAGCAACAGCUGUUAGUGAAAAUACAACAAAAACAAAGGCACCUAGAGGAAUAUCGACGGCAUUGUUGUCGUAUUGUCUGCCGCCCAUUGCAACAAUCGACAAUAUUUGGGUUCACAGCAAUUCGGUCACGACGCCGCUGCAAGAGCCGACGGGCGAUCAGAAACUGCGCAGGACCAAGCUACAGGUAUUGCAUGCGAGUACUGCAAACGAAGUUAACAAAGGGGCAUAUAACUGUUUUGAAACGCCAACGCCAUGGAAACCAACUGCUGCCACAAAGCGAUCAAGCUCCAGGCCAACAGACCCGACGCUGUCGCCGAAUCAGAAGUCACACGAAGCUGCAGAUGAUGUUCAUACGUUUCGUUGUGUGGACAGUGGUAGGAGAGGCAGAAGCAAAAGUGAAAGCGCUGGAAGCUACGGUGACUUGCAAGCAGAACGCCCUCAGAGAGCGCAACAACAGCAAAAACGUUGGCAUUCGGAAAGCAGAGACGAAGCAUUGUCGUGUGGCUGUACAAGAGUUAAAGGUAUUGCAAAUAUGUCAAGUGCAGCCGUGUCUAACGCCAACCAACAACAACAAGGACUGUGCAGUGAUGUCGCCGGCAUUGUUGUUGAUGCUAUUGCAAGUUUACGCAAAACAUCUACAGGGAAUUGCGCUCGACAGCGGCCACAAGCUAUUGCUUACACGCACUGUGCACCAACAAAGGAGAAACAUAACAACACAAACAACAAAACCAAAUGCUGCCAAUCAAACGAAACGAAACAAAGCGAAACACACAACGUUGCCAGAGGCUGCCACGCAGCUGGAGAAUGCGAUUGCUGCUGCAGUCCGCAUCUCUUUUCGUCAUGUACACGCCAAUCUUCCAGAAAUGCUAUCGAACAGCAACAACAACUACAACUCAGCGGUCUAUCAAACGGCUCCAACCAAGAAUUUUCUCAGCUGCUUGCCGACAGCUGCUGGUCGCUCACUUGCAAUGCUGCACCUCAGCUCAAACAACCACAAACAGCAACAAAUGCAACACCUUUGCAAUCACAAUCCACAACAACAGCAGCAAAAACCACAAAUGAACAACGAAGUAUAUUUCAAUACAAAACGAACAAAAAUAGCAAAUUGUACUACAAGAGGGGUGUUGCGAACGAGCUCUAUUUGGAAAGAGCUGCUGCAGCUGGUGCUGACUUUGGUGGCGGUUGCGGCACAUUUCUAUCUACGCUGUGCUGCUCUGUGCGUUCGAAGCUUCUGCUUGCCGUGGCCGACCUGCAAGCCCUGUCACGCGCUCUUUUCUCACUCAUCAUUAUCUUCAACAUGCUGCCGUUAUUUUAUGCAGAAUGCGACCAGACAUUCGUUUCACGUAUUGGCGGCCCACAGAAUGGCACAUUCACCGCGCCGCUGCUGCACAAUCACAAGAACCAUUCGCGUCAGUGCUUGUACACUUUCCUAGCAGGACCCGGGCAACGCGUCGAAGUACUUUUUACAUCGUUUAAUUUAAGAGGAAGUCCACCAGACGGUUCCGCCGUCGGUGAAUUACCAGCCUGUGUUCACGAGUACAUGGAUAUAUAUUCGGAAGUGCAGUCGUCAGAUCCAGCUGAGCUAAUAAAUUCACCGUUUGGUGGACGAUAUUGCGGUACAAUACCGCCGCGACGACGUAUCUCCAUGUACCGAGCUAUAGCCAUCUCAUUUUUUACCAAUAAAAAUGUAUCAACACCCGACUUAUUCGAAGGAACUUAUAGAUUUAUAAAUGCAUCUGAAUAUGAAAUCGGUAUACCAAUAGCGGGUUCACCAUGUUCCUACACCAUUACGCCUAGCAUGAGUAUCAAUAAAACUGGGGCACUCAUAUCGCCAACCUAUCCGGGUGCCUAUCCAAAAGAUAUGUCAUGCACAUAUCAAUUUCUCGGCGAAUCGAAUCAAAGAGUUAGAUUAGAAUUUCGAGAUUUUGAUCUAUUUUUUGGUGGACCACACUGCCCAUUUGACUAUGUCAAAGUGUAUGAUGGUCCCGAUAAUUCGUCAGCAUUAAUUGGUACAUAUUGCGGACAGCAAAGGAAUUUAGUUUUAUACUCAAGCGAAUCGAGCCUUUUUGUUCAUUUUUAUACAUUACCGAGAACAGCGAAUACCCAAAAUCGUGGCUUUAAAGGAAUUUAUGAAUUUAGCGAAAGUUUUGUUAAAUUAGAUUUUAUACGUGAAAAUGAUGGCAUUCACAUACGUGGCUCGGAAUGUGAUCAAAAGAUAUUAUCGAGAAAGGAAUCAACGGGUUUUGUGCUCUCACCAAAUUAUCCCUACCCAUACAUACCGAAAACUGUGUGUAGAUACUUCAUUUACGGCAUGCAAGAUGCGCAGCAUCUGGAACGUGUACGUCUGGAGUUCUCCGCUUUCAAUAUACCCAAGGUAGAGCACAAGGAUAAAAGCGAGUCCAAUUGCACAGACGGUUAUCUUAAAAUCUAUCUGAAGGGACAGGAAACAGCCGAUGCCUAUGACAAAUUUGACUAUGAGUUAUGUGGCAAUGAAACGCAACGCGUUCUCAGCGAUGGACCACGCUUGGCAAUGGUCUUCAGUUCGGGUGAGCUACAGGGUCGCGGGUUCAAGGGUAAAUACACCUUUGAAACUGAAUAUAAAAUACCUGGCACAGCCGCACCCGAUGGCACGUGCAGCUUCACAUAUGUGAGCAGUUCAAAGAAGCGUGGCGAACUGAACAGUCCUCGCUAUCCUUCCAACUACCCAUCAGACACGAAUUGUUCGUAUCUGUUUCUAGGCGAACCGAAUGAGCAGGUCACGAUCGUCUUCGAUCAUUUCAAAAUUAAAGCGGAUGGUAACUCAAAUGCAACAGCUGGAGCUUAUGGUUCUAGCGCUUGCUUUGAAGACUGGCUGGAAAUGUAUGUUGUUUAUCGUGAUAACAACGAUCGUUUUCUUGGUCGCUACUGUGGUCUGACAGCACCCGGCCCCGUUGAGAGCCCAAGGGGUGCGGUGGGUCUGCGUAUCACAUUGCAUACGGAUCAAGAGAAUGUGGCUAGCGGCUUCAAAGCGCGCUACUUUUUCGAAUCACCACGCUCCGAUGUGGCUGAAUGCGGUGGCAACUUCUCAGGUCAAGACUCGGGUAUUAUCACCUCUCCCAACUACCCAGCGGGCUAUAAGGCACCCAGUAGGGGCAUGGCUUCAAUGGCAUGCAAUUGGAUAAUGACAGCACGGCCGGGUUAUAAGUUAUCAAUUAACUUUGAGCACUUCUCCAUCGAAGGCGAUCCAGCAAAUCGUGGCUGUCCUGCUGCUGUUUUGCGACUUUGGGUCAAUGUCGAUUCAGACCAACCGCCAUUGGAAUUGUGUGGUGAAAAGCCACUAAUUGAACAGUGGUAUUACAUUUCCACUGGACAAACUGCUCGUAUCAGUUUCACAACCAGCGACAAAACCGUUGGUGCUCCGGGCUUCCGCAUUGUAUGGACUGAAAUACAAGACUCUGGUCCUGGACCCCCGUCCAUUGGACUGCUCUGUGAAUCAACAUACCACUUCCAAUGCGACGUGGGCUACUGCAUUUCCGAUAAGCUACGUUGCGAUGGCGUCAAAAACUGUGGUCCCGGUGAUGAUAGUGACGAAUUGCACUGUGAGUCGUACCACACAAGCGCCCGAGGAGGAUCACGGCGUUCUAAUUAUAAUAACACUAAUCGUCGUCUCGUUCCUAAUCUGUCUCCUAUGCACACUCUGUCACUCCAAAAGAAAACGUAGAGCGCAUGUGCGCCAACUGGGCCUGCAUCGCAAUGCGCACUACGAUUCACAAACCAGCGCAACUGGUUUGAGUUCCAGCCGACGGCAUUUGCAAGGCGGUGCGAGCAUAUCGGGUAGUCUGCAUGGCAUCAAUAGCGGUUCAUUGAUGAUA
rnacentral:misc_RNA from 1 species